GUCCCGGCCACCCUGCAAGACUGGGUCUAGGAUAAUCGUUCAAGGAUUUGAGAGCAGGCCCAGAGAUAAGAACUUAAUCUGCAAAUGUACUUGAUUCUGAUCCCAAAAUGAACUGGUUAAUGGACUACUGUGAUCGACCACUGGAGAAUGGUAUUUUAUGGAAAAUGAAUGGUAGGAGAACCGGGUGGAGCUGAUGGAUAUUUGAGAAGGACUUUGAUGAGAGACGGCCUGAGGAGAAGUAAUGGAAAGGACACAGCAGAGGAAACAAUGGGUGCUGGGAAAGAAUCCAUUUCAGGUGAUUUGCUGAAUAGAUACUGCAGGGAUGAAAGCAGACGGGUGCAGCUUCACUCAAAUGGAUGAAGAUUAACUCUAUCAAAGGCUGCAGUCAGGUCUUCACAGUAAAUGCGAAGAAAUAUGAUAAAAUCAUUGAAAGACUGCACAGAACAAGACGGACAAACAACCAAUUUGCAAAAGACAACAAACUAUGCAAAUACAAAAAAACACAAGAUUAUAAUAAUAAAUUAAUUAGCAAUAAAUA